rnacentral:tRNA from 2 species
GCCCCUUUCGUAUAGAGGACAAGUAUGGUUGACCUUCACUCAACAGACCAGGGUUCGAAUCCCUGGAGGGGCA